CAUUCGUCAACUUUCCUUAAUUCUCAUUCAGCAGCAACUUUCAUUCUGGAAACUGGUUCACAGGGAACAUGUUGUCAUGACAGAUAACAUUGCUUAAAACUUGCUGAUCCUCUCUUUUAAAAUGCAGAUUGUAAGGAUCAAGACACUGUCUGGUGCAGGAAUGCUGCUUUUUGCGGCGCUAUUCAUUUUUAGCCAAACUUCAUAUGUUGGGUCCGCAGAGGUGACCUAUUGGGCAGAGGUCAUGAUUGAGGGAAAUAAAACCUUAAAUGUUGCAGUCUAUCUGCCUGGACUUGUAGGGACUGUUCUGGAUACAACAGGGGUAACUGUCACAAACGCUGAAAUAGCAGCAGAGUGUGAGAUAAUUGGUCAAAAUUCAACAUGCUGGUGUGGCCCAGAAUAUGUUUGGAGCAAUCUUGUGUGCGACAAUGUAAAUAAAUGCUGCAAUGUGGAAAAAUGUGUGGCAAAUAUAUCAUACUUCACACCUUUGUGUCUGCCAAAAGUGAAUGUUUCACUCAUUGGAGUGCUCACCGGGAGCCCCGCAACGGUCGAUACCAUGCUACUGAAUGCUUUUAAUGUGCUAAAUGCCUUCAACUCAUUGACUAUGCAAGGCACCCUUUACACAGGAUUAAAUACGUACGCUCACAAUUUCACAGUGUCUCUUAGUUCUGUGUUUGCCACCGUCAAAGUUCAAAACAUAAUUACUACACUGCUGACGGAUCCAACCAUUUACAGCCUCAGUGUUAAGUCACUAGGCAUGGUAUACAUGGAGGCACCUACAGGGAAAGUGUGUUAUAAUUCAAAACAGCAGCUGAACUGUACCAGUAUAGAGGCUAUGGGCAAAUGCGUGUGGCAGAUGACCAGAGAUGAUGUAUCGGCAUUGACUCUGGGACCAGGGAGUGAAGUACAGCUAUCAGAUACUUGCACAGAACUCUCAUCAGUCACACUUCUAAAGACAAAUGGAUACUGGUCAGGAACAUACAUCUGCCUUUUUGUCAAUGGGAACAUAGCUCACAUGGCCACGGCACCUAUUUCAAUCGCACUUCUGCCAGAGGUCAUUAAUGUGACAAGCAAUCCACAAACUGCAGAUUGUUCUGCAUCACCAUCCACCAAAGUUAGCAUGUUAUGUUCCAUCGAAAACAGCACUGAAACCUACAAACCCGUGCUAAAACUCGGAACUGUUGAAUCUGCACCAACUAAAGAAGAGCUAAAUGGAAUAAUCAAGUAUACAGCAGACUUCACUGUUGACUGUACGGCAGAAGGCAAACCAAGCUCGCUUGAGGCCAGUUGCACUUUAGAGAACUCUUUAGGUCAGCUGCGAAAUCGCACAAUAAGAGUACCAAUCAUUUAUCCCAGUGACUUGUUUUGUGCAGAUGAAGAAAUUGAAGACAGAAAAUGGCCAAAAACCAAGAAUAAUGAAACAGCUGUUAUAGACUGCACUAUGACAGGGAGGCAGGGCUCAAUGAAACGCAAAUGCAAUGGGAAAACAUGGGGGGAAGAAGUCUCUCUGUGUGUUAAAGCUGUCCUCAAUAAUGUAGCUCUGCAAGCAAUGGAUUUUGAAAAAGGACUUGGAGCAACACAAGAGGGCGCUCAGUUUAUCUUUCAGAGCUUGAAAAAUAACACAUCCGAAGAGAGUGAGAACACUUUUGGCGAUGUCAAGACUGCAGUUUCUGUUUUCAAAACAAUGAACAAGGCGUCAGCAAACAUGCCACUAGGCGAGAACCUUCUUGCAGAUUUCAUCGACUCGGCCAGCAGCAUGUUGAACGUGAGCUGGGAAGUGGGAGAUGAGGACGAGAGCAGUACACUGGCCUCACAAUAUCUGUCAUCCGUAGAAGGCCUUGUGAAGAGCAUCCGAAUAAAUGCCAGCGAGGGCUACAACGCCACAAACAUCCAGCUUCAGAUCUGCCGAAGCGGCAGCACUUGCAACAGAACCGUUUUCAGCGUGGACGUCGAGCUGAAUGCAACAGCAGACAUGGUGAAGACCGUCGGAUUACAGAGCUUGGCCAGCCGCCUGCCAAAACUGGGCUACGAGGAUGCAUUGUUUCCGAGCAUAGUCGUAUCCAGCACAGUUGAGAACAACACUCAGCCGUCGGUGAACAUCAGACUGGCUUUUCCGAAUGAAGAAGCCGGAAGUGCCAAGAUGACCUGCGUGUUCUGGAACGUCACGGAGCAAAGAUGGUCAGACGAUGGCUGCGAAUUCGUUAAAGGCCCCGGGAACCUCGCCUACUGCGAAUGCAACCAUCUCACCUCCUUCUCCAUGCUCAUGUCUAAGCAUUCAGUAAGCAUGCCUUUUCUAGAUCAGCUGACGUACGUCGGACUGGGAGUCUCCAUAUGCUCUCUCAUCGUCUAUAUCAUCAUCGAGUGUUUGGUCUGGAGCGCCGUAGUCAAAUCCAGCCUCUCUCACUUCCGGCACACUGCUCUCCUCAACAUCUCUCUGAGUCUGCUUUUGGCCGACUGCAGCUUCUUGGCUUCCUCCUUCCCAUCAAUCCUAAAUGAAACCCUGUGCCUUGUUUUGGUGGUGGCGAAGCAUUACUUCUUCCUUGCGAUGUUCUUUUGGAUGCUGUGUCUGAGCAUUAUGUUGGUCCACCAGCUCAUUUUCGUCUUCAGCCACAUUGGGAAAAAGAUGUACAUGAUCAUCGGAUUCACCAUUGGCUACGUUUGUCCGACAAUAACUGUGGCUGUUACUUAUGUGUACUACGAUCAAGCAACCGACAUUCCAUACUACAGCUCGAAAACGUGCUGGCUUACCUAUCAGUCAGCCAUGCAGGGAUCCAUACAUGCAUUUCUCUUCCCAGUCGGGACCAUCGUGCUGGUGAACCUGUUCUCCAUGGUGGUGGUUAUUGCAACCGUUCUAAAGCCGUCUGGAGCUGAAACCAACAAAAAGGGAGACAAAGAUGCGGCGAAAAGCAUCAUCAAAGUCAUUAUCUUUCUAACGCCUGUUUUUGGUGGGACUUGGGUUCUGGGUCUUUUUGUCUUUCUGAUGGAUGACUUUACGCAGUUUAUUACAUAUGUAGUGCAUUAUGCAUUCACCAUUGUCAACUCCCUGCAGGGCUUCUUCAUCUUGUUGACAGGAUGUUUUGCAGAAAAAAGGGUCCGAGAUGAAAUAUUGAGAAUAGUUUUGGGGAAAUCAGGAAAAGAAGGAACAGCAACGUCUACAAAAUAAAUGAUCACAUGCUGUAAAGCAGCUCCACGGAAGACAAUAGUGUCUUUAUUCAACUCAGAGGGAGCAUGUAAACAAAUUACAGGACACUGAUCCACCUCUUAACCCACAAAAGCAACAAAAAUAGAGGAAGGGGUGCAACUGUUUGGUGAAGACCUAAAAGUACUUCUUGUACUUCAAAAGACUU